CAUACAUCGACCAGAAAAGGUCAUCUACUGGAGAAAAUGAAAGAUUAUUACCAUAAAUGGAUAUUGACCAUCUUGAGCGUCGAUUCCACCAAUGAUUCUCAGAUUUGAAGCGACAUUUUCUAAUUCGAUCGAUUUUUACAAGAUGUACUAUUAUACCUCCGGCAGUGUCGACGACGGAAUUUGAAAAAGCGGAUCCAACCAAAAAAAGGAAGG